GGGGAGGCUGGGGAGGCUGGGGAGCCAUGGCAGCCCGAUGCAGUGCGGGUCUCCAGGUGGAGGGGCCCUGGUCCCCUGGCGCCAGCGUGGCCCUUCCUCCUUGUGGAGACCCUUGUGGUGUGUGUGCUCUCUCGCCCUGACCCAGGAGAGCAGCAUGGCGGACCCUGAUCUUGUGGCGUGCCACCGAGCGAGGCCGAGGAGCUCCGCAGCCCAGUGCGCGUGGCGUCCUUGUCGCGGCUCUGUGGAGACCUGGCGAUGCAUGGCGGACCCCUGAUCUUGUGGCGUGCCACCGCGCGAGGCCGAGGAGCUCCCGCAGACCAGUGGGCGUGGCGUCCUUGUCGCGGCUCUGUGGAGACCUGGCGAUGGAGAGCAGCAUGGCGGACCCCUGAUCUUGUGGCGUGCCACCGCGCGAGGCCGAGGAGCUCCCGCAGCCCAGUGGGCGUGGCGUCCUUGUCGCGGCUCUGUGGAGACCUGGCGAUGGAGAGCAGCAUGGCGGACCCCUGAUCUUGUGGCGUGCCACCGCGCGAGGCCGAGGAGCUCCCGCAGCCCAGUGCGCGUGGCGUCCUUGUCGCGGCUCUGUGGAGACCUGGCGAUGGUGAGCGGCCCCUGUCCUCAGUGGUGGAGAACUCGCCCUUGGGGCGCUCGUCUGUCCGGAGCCCCGGGCCAGCCCCGCUUCUCGCGGGCUUUGGCCCCGGCAGGCCAGCUCCGGGGGCGUGAGGGGGAGCGUCCCGUCCUGCCCAGUGGCUCGUCUGUCUGGGCACGCCCCCAAACGCUGCCGUGAUGGAGCGGGUGGGAUGUCCAGGUGCGGAGGCCGUGAAUUUGCCUUGCGGCGGCGGAGCCCGUGCUCGGAUCGAUGAUGACUCCCUCUAAAGCAUUCCUUGGAAAUCUGAACAAAAUGAGUGAGAACUCACUACCGUCUCCUCAUCGAAACUGAGGUCCGGCACGUGGCGGCCACCGGGGGCUCGGGGGUAGAUGGGCCCUUGGCCUUGGGGCCUCUGGGUGUCAGCAGCCACUCGGGUGAGGUCUGGGG
rnacentral:lncRNA from 1 species